CCUACGGGAGGCAGCAGUCGGGAAUAUUGGACAAUGGGGGCAACCCUGAUCCAGCAAUACCGCGUGUGUGAAGAAGGCCUGCGGGUUGUAAAGCACUUUUAGUAGGGAAGAUAAUGACGUUACCUACAGAAAAAGCACCGGCUAACUCCGUGCCAGCAGCCGCGGUAAUA
rnacentral:rRNA from 1 species